rnacentral:rRNA from 1 species
UACAGAGGGGGCAAGCGUUGUUCGGAAUUACUGGGCGUAAAGGGCGCGUAGGCGGCCUGCUAAGUCGAACGUGAAAUCCCCGGGCUCAACCCGGGAACUGCGUCCGAUACUGGUUGGCUUGAAUCCGGGAGAGGGAUGUGGAAUUCCAGGUGUAGCGGUGAAAUGCGUAGAUAUCGGAAGGAACAUCAGUGGCGAAGGCGACUUCCUGGACCAAUACUGACGCUCAGGUGCGAAAGCGUGGGGAGCAAACAGG